UACGUAGGGUGCAAGCGUUAAUCGGAAUUACUGGGCGUAAAGCGUGCGCAGGCGGUUUUGUAAGUCUGUCGUGAAAUCCCCGGGCUCAACCUGGGAAUUGCGAUGGAGACUGCAAGGCUAGAAUCUGGCAGAGGGGGGUAGAAUUCCACGUGUAGCAGUGAAAUGCGUAGAGAUGUGGAGGAACACCGAUGGCGAAGGCAGCCCCCUGGGUCAAGAUUGACGCUCAUGCACGAAGGCGUGGGGGAGCAAACAGG
rnacentral:rRNA from 1 species